AUCUGGCUCAGGUAGUCGUACAAGGUAACCGUAAAGUUUGAUCGUGGUGAAUAAAGCUCUGUAGCAAGGUGCCCUGAACUCUAGGGAAAAAAACCCUCGAAACGAGGGGUUCUAAUUACCGGAUUAAGACCACCCCGGCCCCAAUGGUCUUCGGUGGUGGAAAAAUCCCGCCGGUGACCAGGAUAAACCCCCGGGCCCUAUCAAGCUUGUUGGGGGGGGUGAUGGCCUACCCAAGGCGAAGAACGGGUAGCCCGCCCUGAAAAGGCGACCCGGCCACCACUGGGAAUGAGACACGGCCCCAGACUCCUUACGGGAGGCAGCCAGUGGGGAAUAUUGCACCAAUGGGCGCAAGCCUGAUGCAAGCGACCCCCGCCUGAGGGAUGACGGCCCUUCGGGUUGUAAACCUCUUUUCAGCAGGGAAGAAGCCCCAAGUGACGGUACCUGCAGAAGAAGCACCGGCUAAAUACGUGCCAGCAGCCGCGGUAAUACGUAGGGUGCAAGCGUUGUCCGGAAUUAUUGGGCGUAAAGAGCUCGUAGGCGGCUUGUCGCGUCGGAUGUGAAAGCCCGGGGCUUAACCCCCGGGUCUGCAUUCGAUACGGGCAGGCUGGAGUUCGCCAGGGGAGAUUGGAAUUCCUGGUGUAGCGGUGAAAUGCGCAGAUAUCAGGAGGAACACCGGUGGCGAAGGCGGAUCUCUGGGCCGAUACUGACGCUGAGGAGCGAAAGCGUGGGGAGCGAACAGGAUUAGAUACCCUGGUAGUCCACGCCGUAAACGUUGGGCACUAGGUGUGGGCGGCAUUCCACGUCGUCCGUGCCGCAGCUAACGCAUUAAGUGCCCCGCCUGGGGAGUACGGCCGCAAGGCUAAAACUCAAAGGAAUUGACGGGGGCCCGCACAAGCGGCGGAGCAUGUGGCUUAAUUCGACGCAACGCGAAGAACCUUACCAAGGCUUGACAUACACCGGGAAACGGCCGGAGACGGUCGCCCCCCUUUGGGGUCGGUGUACAGGUGGGUGCAUGGCCUGUCGUCAGCUCCAGUGUCGUGGAAAUGUUGGGUUUAAGUCCCGCCAACGAAGCGCAACCCUUUGUCCUGUGUUUGCCAGCAACUUCUUCCGAAGGUUGGGGGACUCACGGGGAAAACUGGCCGGGGUUCAACUUCGGAAGGAAAGGUGGGGGACCAACGUCCAAGUCAUUCAUGCCCCCUUUAAGGUCUUGGGGCUGCACACCGUGGCUAACAAUGGCCCCGGUACAAAUGAACCUUGCCAUUGCCCCUUGAGGGUUGGAAGCCGAAUCUUCAAAGAAAGCCGGGGUCUCCAGUUUCCGGAAUUGGGGGGUCUGGCAACUCCCGACCCCCCAUGUAUUAGU
rnacentral:rRNA from 1 species